rnacentral:pre_miRNA from 1 species
AGUGGCAUUGCUGGAUUACAUGAUAGAUGUAUGUUAAACUUUAGAGGAAACUAUCAAACUCUUUUCCAAAGUGGUUUUACCAUUUUACAUUCCUGCCAGUGAU